rnacentral:rRNA from 1 species
CCUACGGGUGGCAGCAGUGGGGAAUAUUGGACAAUGGGGGGAACCCUGAUCCAGCCAUGCCGCGUGUGUGAAGAAGGCCCUCGGGUUGUAAAGCACUUUCAGUGAGGAAGAACGCCUGGUGGUUAAUACCCAUCAGGAAAGACAUCACUCACAGAAGAAGCACCGGCUAACUCCGUACCAGCAGCCGCGGUAAUACGGAGGGUGCGAGCGUUAAUCGGAAUUACUGGGCGUAAAGCGCGCGUAGGUGGCUUGAUAAGCCGGUUGUGAAAGCCCCGGGCUCAACCUGGGAACGGCAUCCGGAACUGUCAAGCUAGAGUGCAGGAGAGGAAGGUAGAAUUCCCGGUGUAGCGGUGAAAUGCGUAGAGAUCGGGAGGAAUACCAGUGGCGAAGGCGGCCUUCUGGACUGACACUGACACUGAGGUGCGAAAGCGUGGGUAGCAAACAGGAUUAGAUACCCCAGUAGUC